rnacentral:rRNA from 1 species
AACGAACGCUGGCGGCAGGCCUAACACAUGCAAGUCGAGCGAAGCCUUCGGGCUUAGCGGCGGACGGGUGAGUAACGCGUGGGAACGUGCCCUUUGGUACGGAAUAGCCCCGGGAAACUGGGAGUAAUACCGUAUGUGGUCGAGAGACGAAAGAUUUAUCGCCAAAGGAUCGGCCCGCGUUGGAUUAGGUAGUUGGUGGGGUAAUGGCCUACCAAGCCGACGAUCCAUAGCUGGUUUGAGAGGAUGAUCAGCCACACUGGGACUGAGACACGGCCCAGACUCCUACGGGAGGCAGCAGUGGGGAAUCUUAGACAAUGGGGGAAACCCUGAUCUAGCCAUGCCGCGUGAUCGAUGAAGGCCUUAGGGUUGUAAAGAUCUUUCAGUGGGGAAGAUAAUGACUGUACCCACAGAAGAGGCCCCGGCUAACUACGAGCCAGCCGCCGCCGUAACAC